UACAGAGGUCUCAAGCGUUGUUCGGAUUCAUUGGGCGUAAAGGGUGCGUAGGCGGUGUGGAAAGUCGAAUGUGAAAUCUCGGAGCUCAACUCCGAAACUGCACUCGAUACUACCAUACUAGAGGAUUGUAGAGGAGAUCGGAAUUCACGGUGUAGCAGUGAAAUGCGUAGAUAUCGUGAGGAAGACCAGUUGCGAAAGCGGAUCUCUGGGCAACUCCUGACGCUGAGGCACGAAGGCUAGGGGAGCAAACGGG
rnacentral:rRNA from 1 species